GAUGAACGCUAGCGGCAGGCUUAACACAUGCAAGUCGAGGGGUAGAGGCUUUCGGGCCUUGAGACCGGCGCACGGGUGCGUAACGCGUAUGCAAUCUGCCUUGUACUGGGGGAUAGCCCAGAGAAAUUUGGAUUAAUACCCCAUAGUAUUUUCGGUUGGCAUCAACUGAUUAUUAAAGUUUUUCGGUACAAGAGGAGCAUGCGUCCCAUUAGCUAGUUGGUAUGGUAACGGCAUACCAAGGCUACGAUGGGUAGGGGUCCUGAGAGGGAGAUCCCCCACACUGGUACUGCGACACGGACCAGACUCCUACGGGAGGCAGCGGUGAGGAAUAUUGGUCAAUGGUCGCAAGACUGAACCAGCCAUGCCGCGUGCAGGAUGAAGCAUCUAUGGUGUGUAAACUGCUUUUGUACGGGAAGAAACACUCCUACGUGUAGGGGCUUGACGGUACCGUAAGAAUAAGGAUCGGCUAACUCCGUGCCAGCCGCCGCCGUAAGAC
rnacentral:rRNA from 1 species